rnacentral:misc_RNA from 1 species
UUUCCGUAGGUGAACCUGCGGAAGGAUCAUUAACAAAUCUUUAAACAAACCUUUGUGAAUAAGGGGGAGGAUAUAUAUCCCUUUCCUAGAAACAUAUAUACCAAAAAAAGUCUAUAAAUAACUUAUAAAAAUAAUUUAAAUACAACUUUUAACAAUGGAUCUCUUGGCUCUUGCAUCGAUAGAAGAGC